rnacentral:rRNA from 1 species
UACGUAGGGUCCGAGCGUUGUCCGGAAUUACUGGGCGUAAAGAGCUCGUAGGUGGUUUGUCGCGUUGUUCGUGAAAACUCACAGCUCAACUGUGGGCGUGCGGGCGAUACGGGCAGACUGGAGUACUGCAGGGGAGACUGGAAUUCCUGGUGUAGCGGUGGAAUGCGCAGAUAUCAGGAAGAACACCAAUGGCGAAAGCAGCUCUCUGGGACGGUACUGACGCUGAGACGCGAAAGCGUGGGGAGCGAACAGG